rnacentral:lncRNA from 1 species
UGAUUUGGAAGAGUUGAACUACUUGCAAUUCGUUAUCAAAGAAACAUUAAGGCUACACCCUCCGGCUCCUCUAUUAUUCCCAAGGGAAUGUAGAGAGGAAACAAAGAUUGAUGGACACAAUACCUGUGAAAACCAAAGUUCUGGUUAAUGCAUGGUCGAUUGGUAGAGAUCCCAAAUACUGGCAUAAUUCAGAAAGCUUUAUACCUGAGAGAUUUGAGAAUAGUAGUAUUGACUUUAGAGGAAAUCACUUUGAGUUUAUUCCAUUUGGUGCAGGAAGAAGAAUGUGUCCCGGAAUGUUAUUUG